GCCAUGAAGGUGGUGUCCAAGAAGAAGCUGAUGAAGCAGUAUGGAUUUCCACGUCGCCCCCCUCCGAGAGGACCCAAGGCUGCGGUCCAGGGGGAGCAGCCCAAAGUCCUAGGCCCCCUGGAGAGGGUGUACCAGGAGAUCGCCAUCCUCAAGAAGCUGGACCAUCUCAACAUAGUCAAACUGGUGGAGGUGUUGGAUGAUCCUGCAGAGGACAACCUUCACAUGGUGUUUGAUUUGAUGCCAAAGGGGUGAGUAGCCUAGGACAUGUCGUGUCCUUUUUUU